CUACGGGGGGCAGCAGUCGCGAAACCUUCGCAAUGCGCGCAAGCGUGACGAGGGAACCCCAAGUGCGCAUGUACAACAUGUGCUUUUAUCAAGCCUAAAAAGCUUGAGGAAUAAGGGCUGGGUAAGACUGGUGCCAGCCUCCGCGGUAACACCAGCAGCUCAAGUGGUGAUCGCGUUUACUGGGUUUAAAGCGUGCGUAGUCGGUUUGACAAGUUUUCUGUGAAAUCCUGGCGCUCAACGUCAGGGAUGGCAGAAAAUACUAUCAGGCUAGAGACCGGGGUAGGAGUGAGGUAUUCUGGGGGUAGCGGUGAAAUGCUAUAAUCCCUGGAAGACCACCAGUAGCGAAAGCAUCACUCUGGAACGGGUCUGACGAUGAGGUACGAGAGCUAGGGGAGCGAACAGGAUUAGAUACCCCAGUAGUC
rnacentral:rRNA from 1 species